CAAUGGCCAUUGGGGGCUGAGCCCCAAAUCAUAGGGGCUCAGCCCCAAUAUUUGUCCUUCCCUGGCUCCUUCUGGUUCAGUCCCAUCAGGGCCCUGGAUCCCAAGACUCAGCAUCCAAGGUCCCCUCCAGGAAUCCUGGCAGCUCAGCAUACUUUAUCCUGUUUCAUCUGAGAGCAAAAAUGUAAAAUUGGAUGCACAGAAAAGUGACUCAAAGUGCUUAAUGACUAGAAGUCUAGGAGCAGCAAGAAGGUAAUGUGGAGGGAGGGACCUCCAUGACCGGUGUCUGCAGAGCCAGGGGUACAGGCACCCAGUGCUGUGGCCUGGCACCACCUGCAUCUCAGAGGGUGGAUGGCACACUCCUUACCCAGAGGACAGCAGGCCUGGUCACCAGCUUUUCUACCUGUCCCUGUAAGCAUCACAUUGCUGGAGGAAAAUCUCAUGCCAGAGCUUGGACCAUCCCUAGCUCAGGGGUUAGGGGUUGUCCCUUGGUGACCUAAAUGAAAAAACAGGUCCAGAACAGAGUUCCUGAUGCUGGACACUCAUUCAGUCUUUGAAUCAUGGGAGGGGAGGCCUGGUACUAGGUAGACCUAACCUCUUUGAGGAACUACAGAGCCCAAGGCUGGAAACCUCCAGAAUCCUCCACCCCCUGAUCCUCCCUGGGGACCCCUGUGGCCUGUCUCACUGAGCACUCUUCCAUCUAUAGAUGUCUGGGCUGCUGUACAAGGGAGUCCCCUUUCAGGUUUGGUGCUAGACAUGGUCACUCCUGCUGGAUGUCUAGGUGGUAGAAACCAAGGACCUAGGGAAAUACGAGGUACAGCCUUUCCACGCUCAUCCAGAGCAGGACAAACAGGCCAGGCGGUGUCAGGAGCCCAGGUCUCCAGCUGGAGGGAACGUCAACCCUGCGGUGGGAGCAGGGGCCCUUUGCACAUCCUAGGCACAGAUGGUAAUGUAGACACCACAGGUAAGCUGGGCUUGGUACCUACCCCUCCCCGGAUUCAGAAAGAAACCAAACAAGGAGCUUUGUGUGGAAUGAAACCUCCUUUCCUCCCGGAAGCACUGCUGACUGUUUGGUGGUUGCCAUUUGUGGCAGUGAGCCUUUGUUUGUUCUGAGGUUGGGCUGGUUUCUCCUCUUGGCCCUGCCCUACAGAUCAUAAAGGAGAACAGCAAGAGGUCCCCAGCAAACAUCCACAGAUGGCCUUGGAAAUAAGUCACCUUGUGAGAAACAUGUCAUGUUCUGGGAGGGAUAAGGCAUCAACCUCACCCUGCAGGAAUGCCAGUGAACAUAUUGCUGACAUCUUGGAGCUCAGUACCCUCAUACUGUAACGGCGUCAACAGAUCUGCCUGUGCUUGGACUUCCUGUACUACCCAUUCCUGAGGGGCGAUGCUUCUGCAGGGCCUGUGACUUGGUGCACAACUUCAGACACCAUCAUCUUGCAGCAGCACCGCACCCUCACUAGCCAGAGUGUUGAUGACUUCCUCAAGGCCAAGGCCACAUUCAAGGCUUCGGACUUCAUUGAUGCGCUUGUGCUGAGCAAGGUGGCUUCUCCAGGAUCUUAAUUCAGGAGGUAGAAUGGAGCUUGAGAUCAAGUGUCUGAUCAAGCCUCAGUGUAUGGGCGCUGUUCAUCCUCUGGUGCUGAAGCAGCCAAGAGACACAAGUCUGCCUGGCUGCCUCUUAGGAUAUGACAGCAGAGCCAGUGGCCUCUACUAGAUCCUGUACAACCUCACAAAACACCCAGACAUCGGGAGUGCUGCCAGCAUGUGAUGCAAGAGUCCUAAUCCUGAAGACAUUGAAUGACCUGUCAUUGUGCUGUUUUUACCAAAAAGGAUCAUGAGGAUCAGAGAGGAAAAGUCACUUGCCCAAAGUCACACAGCUGAACAGUGGUGGAGUUCAACUUUGACCGUGGGCUGUCUGGCCCCAAGGUGUAUGCUUGCUUCUCUCCCAAGAGACUCCUUUCUUAUCUGGCUCAAAUGAAUGAAAGGAGGAUGUUAAAGUUCCUAGAAGCUUUAAUUGAAUGAAAGUUCCUAGUAGAUCUGUACCUACUAAAAACCACACUUCUGAAGCUACGUGGCCACCAGAAGACACAGCUAGUCUGCCAUGUAAAAAAGGAAAGGUGGUGUGUGCCCUGAAGGUGCAGGGGUGAGAGGCAGGGAAAUGGAGACCCCAACAGCCAGCAGCAGUGGCCCUCAUCACAGCCCUCCAGGAGAUAUGAAAGGAGACAACGCCAUUAUUGACGAGAUCACUCCCAAGCGGAUUGGAGAUUGUCCCAAUACUUAGACCUAUAGCAAGGCCUUGGGAGAAAUGGUGGUGCAGCAGGAGAGCAGGAACCUAACCAUUGCCAUCCUAAGGCCCUCCAUUGUGCGGAGCAACGUGGCACCAGCUUUUCCUGGGUUGGGUUGAUAAUCUAAAUGGAUGUAGCCGACUCAUUAUUGCGGAACGUGAGGAACACGAGUAGUUCAAGAAAAUGCUGAAGAUGCGCUUGGCUGGGAAGCUAGGAUAGGCUGACGAAGUCAGACUUAGUGUGGGAACCUGGCUGGGAAAGGGUUUCUUCUGUCCAUAAAAGCUACUCCAAUGGCUGUGAGAGACUUAAUUCCAAUUCCAGGUGAUACAGCCGUCAAUCUCCCACUAGCUGUAGGAUGGUGUGCUGCAGUUCACAGGGCAAAGGAGAUAGAAGUGGAUGAAAUGAGAGAGUAUUUUUUUAACUGAACUCUGAUUAAUGCCAAAAGUGUUCAAUCACUAUGUGUGGGGAAGUUUCCUGGUACAAAGGAAAAAAAAGGUUGUUCAAACACUUGGCUGUGUUAACCUAAGUCAAUGUUAGUCUACCACUGUACGUCUGGUAAACUCAAUCCCUGCAACCGGAGCAAAAUGCAUAAGUACUUUAGCCAUGUAACUGCAUAAUUACUAGUGUCUGACACAGAGAAAAAAUAGGCAGUGUGUCAUGGAGCUUAGAGCCUACAUGGGGAGAAAGACAAAAAGAUUCCAGGUCUUGGCAACCUGUGAAAUUCCAAUUCCAUUUGCGAGAGCUUUGAGGAGGCCAUAUGCUGAUUUCACCGCAAGCAACUUCACAACCCAGUACUGGAAUGCCAUCAGCCAGCAGGCCCCUGCCAUCAUCUGUGACUUCUAUCUGUGGCUCACUGGAAGGAAACCCAGCUACCAAAGGAAGAUACCCUCAUCAACCCAAUUUUACAAAUGGAGAAAUAGAAGCUAAGGGAAGAAUCUGAAGUAGUCUCAAAGGCAGUGACAGGAAGGAUGUGGAGAAAGCUGAGUGUCAAAGUCAGUAUUCAUGACUAGAUUUACUGCUACUUAGAGAUGAAUGAAGAAAUCAGAGGGAACGCAGUGUGCUGAUGCUAAAGCAGCUGUCACCACCCAGCUGUGUGACAUAGGACAUCUUCUUUCUCUGUCUCACUUGAAUAAUAUGAUGUGUCAGAGGAGACAUGAUUGUAAUUGCCUAAAGCAAUUCUUGUGAUCAAGAAUCAGAAGCAUGAACAGUAUUGCUCUCUGUGUUAGCCCCUUUAUAAGGGAGGAAGUCAUCUUCAGCAUGUUGAAUUGUCAUCUUUCUUGGCAGUGCAAAUGACUAAAACUUAGCCAAUGUAGAGUUUGUCCAAAUUUGGAGCAAAGUGAAAGGAAAACAUUGUGAUUAUGGGGAAAAUAUUUGUAUGGGACUAUUAAAUAAAGACACGAAAAGAAGAAAACCCAAAUAUUAUAGGCAGAAAUGCUAAACGUUAUAAAAUAUAUCAGGAUUGGAAGAAGGCAUGGAUAAAGAACAAAGUUCAGUUAGGAAAGAGAAACACAGAAGGAAGAGACACAAUAGAAGUCAUUAUGUAUUCUGUGAGAAGUCAGACAGUAAGAUUUGUGGGAAAUGGGUUGGUUUGUUGUAUGGUAUGUAUUUUAGCAACAAUCUUUAUGGCAGAGAAAGCUAAAAUCCCUUAGCUUGCGUGAAUGAUCACUUGCUGAAUUCCUCAAGGUAGGCAUGAUGAAGGAGGGUUUAGAGGAGACACAGACACAAUGAACUGACCUAGAUAGAAAGCCUUAGUAUACUCAGCUAGGAAUAGUGAUUCUGAGGACACACUGUGACCUGACUGUGUCAUUACAUGUAUGGUAGUGAUGGGGAUGAUAGAAGGAAGAACUGAUGGCAUAUUUUCACCCCCACAAAAAUCAGUUAAAUAUUGGGACACUAACCUUCCAGGUCAAGAAAAGUCACAUGCCAUAGCCAUGGUAUUGCACAUCAUUCAUCUUGCAUUCUUUGAGAAUAAGAAGAUAAGUAAGUAGUUCAGAAGUGGGAAGCUUUGUCCAGGCCUGUGUGUGAACCCAAUGUUUUGUUUAGAAAUAGAACAAGUAAGUUCAUUGCUAUAGCAUAACACAAAAUUUGCUUAAGUGGUGGUCAGCAAAUCCUUGAAUGCUGCUUAAUGUGACGAGGUUGGUAAAAUCCUUUGUGCAACACUCUUACUCCCUGAAUGUUUUGCUGUGCUGGGGCCUGUGCGUGCCAGGCAAGGCCAAGAUGGCUCAAAGAGCAACCAGCCACCUCCUGCUGGCAGGAUUUGUUUUUGCAUCCUGUGAAGAGCCAAGGAAGCACCAGGGCAUAAGUCUACUCACUUAUAUCUGUUUGUCUGGAACAUAACCCAUGUUUGUUUUUACAACAAAUAAAAUUGAUGUUGAAUAAAAA